rnacentral:lncRNA from 1 species
CCAAGAUUCUGAUUCUGUGCACUAAGUCUCUUCCAUUUGACUUCCCAGGAGCCUGAUUCCCCACGUGUCACAUUGGUCCGUGACGUUUCCCCACUAAGGAGCUGACUGCUGGAUUGAGAUGCUUAUUUCCCCACGUACAUGUAUAUCAAAGGUUCUGUGUAGCCUCACCUAGUGCAUCGUAAUUUCUUACUUGAGGGAGACCAGCACCCUGAAAACGAACUGGAAAGCUGCCUUCUUCAGUCAAAUCUGCUAAAUCAUACCUACAAUGAAUGAUAUUCAAUAACUUCUGUCAUG